AGCGGCGGACGGGUGAGUAACGCGUGGGUAACCGUGCCUCAUACAGGGGGAUAACAGUUGGAAACGGCUGCUAAUACCGCAUAAGCGCACAGUACCGCAUGGUACGGUGUGAAAAACUCCGGUGGUAUGAGAUGGACCCGCGUCUGAUUAGCCAGUUGGCGGGGUAACGGCCCACCAAAGCGACGAUCAGUAGCCGACCUGAGAGGGUGACCGGCCACAUUGGGACUGAGACACGGCCCAA
rnacentral:rRNA from 1 species